rnacentral:rRNA from 1 species
CCUACGGGGGGCUGCAGUGGGGAAUAUUGGACAAUGGGCGAAAGCCUGAUCCAGCCAUGCCGCGUGUGUGAAGAAGGCCUUCGGGUUGUAAAGCACUUUCAGUGGGGAAGAAAGCCUUGGGGCUAAUACCCUCGAGGAAGGACAUCACCCACAGAAGAAGCACCGGCUAACUCCGUGCCAGCAGCCGCGGUAAUUCGGAGGGUGCGAGCGUUAAUCGGAAUUACUGGGCGUAAAGCGCGCGUAGGCGGUCUGAUAAGCCGGUUGUGAAAGCCCCGGGCUCAACCUGGGAACGGCAUCCGGAACUGUCAGGCUAGAGUGCAGGAGAGGAAGGUAGAAUUCCCGGUGUAGCGGUGAAAUGCGUAGAGAUCGGGAGGAAUACCAGUGGCGAAGGCGGCCUUCUGGACUGACACUGACGCUGAGGUGCGAAAGCGUGGGUAGCAAACAGGAUUAGAUACCCGGGUAGUC